GAGUUUGAUCCUGGCUCAGGACGAACGCUGGCGGCGCGCCUAACACAUGCAAGUCGAACGGAGCUGAGAGAAGCUUGCUUUUCUUAGCUUAGUGGCGAACGGGUGGGUAACGCGUGAGUAACCUGCCCUGGAGUGGGGGACAACAGUUGGAAACGACUGCUAAUACCGCAUAAGCCCACGAUCCGGCAUCGGAUUGAGGGAAAAGGAUUUAUUCGCUUCAGGAUGGACUCGCGUCCAAUUAGCUAGUUGGUGAGGUAACGGCCCACCAAGGCGACGAUCGGUAGCCGGACUGAGAGGUUGAACGGCCACAUUGGGACUGAGACACGGCCCAGACUCCUACGGGAGGCAGCAGUGGGGAAUAUUGCACAAUGGGGGAAACCCUGAUGCAGCAACGCCGCGUGAAGGAAGACGGUUUUCGGAUUGUAAACUUCUGUUCUUAGUGAAGAAUAAUGACGGUAGCUAAGGAGCAAGCCACGGCUAACUACGUGCCAGCCGCCGCGGUAAUUC
rnacentral:rRNA from 1 species